UACCCCUAGCAAAUCUCAAAAAACCGUCUCAGUUCGGAUUGUGCUCUGCAACUCGAGCACAUGAAGUCGGAAUCGCUAGUAAUCGCAGAUCAGCACGCUGCGGUGAAUACGUUCCCGGGCCUUGUACACACCGCCCGUCACACCAUGGGAGUUGGCUUUACCUGAAGACGGUGCGCUAACCGCAAGGAGGCAGCCGGCCACGGUAGGGUCAGCGACUGGGGUGAAG
rnacentral:rRNA from 1 species